CCAGUCACUAAUUCUAUGAAAAAAAAUAUAUUCUUAGCAUGUAAAAUUAGCAUGAAAAUUAGCAUGUAAUACAUUUAUUUCCAAUGCAUGUUAUAUUUUCUCCUACGUAUAUUUACUUAGUAGCAUUUUGUGUUUGCAGGUCAUGUACUUAAAAGCAGCAACUAACAACCGGGCAUCGACAGCAUACCACUUCUUCUCAGAAGCAGUCCAGACAUUUGGCUUACCAUCUAGGGUCAGGGGAGACCAAGGAGUGGAGAAUGUACAGAUAGCCAGGUUCAUGUUUUCUUCAAGAGGCACGGACCGAGGAAGUUUCAUAUCCGGGAAAAGUGUCCAUAAUCAAAGGAUUGAGCGCCUCUGGCGUGAUGUUAGAACCAUGGUGACUAACAAGUACUCGGACACACUGCACUCCCUAGAGGCAGAAGGAUUGCUGGACUUAUCAGUGGUCGAGGACCUUUUCAGUGUGCACUACACUUUUCUCCAAAGACUUCAGGCAGACUUGGACACAUUUUCCGAAGCCUGAAAUCAUCAUCCACUCUCCUCAGAGGGCAAUCGAAGUCCAGAGCAACUGUGGCAGAUUGGAAUGAUGCACAUAAAUAUUGACCCAUCGGAGAGAUACGAGGACAUGGAAGAGCCAGAUCUAGACUGGGCGAAGCAGCUUCUUAUGAUGCCUGUGAAGAUUUCUGAGUUGUUGUUCCUGAAUUUGAAAGCCCUUUGUGUUCAGAUGGGUUGAGGGCUCUCGAACACCUGCUUAAUUCCACUGGUCCCAAUAUCCCUGUUAAAGAACUGUAUUUGCUUUGUCGGGAGUUUGUUUCAACAAAUAUGGUGUAAUAAUUUAACAAAACACACCAAUCAAGCAUAAAGACAGUACUGCAGCUAACAGCUUUAUUUUGCAUUGAAGCCUACUGUAUAUUGUUAUACAUUUUCAUUUCCAAAUUGAGUUUUGGAACGAUACAGCAGCAAUCUUUGCUGCAUUUUUUUGCAAUGCAUGUCAAUGAUAAACAAAACUAAAUAAUAAUAAAAAAAAGCUGCAUUUAAAUAUGUAAAA